AGCUCCAGUAGCGUAUAUUAACGUUGUUGCAGUUAAAAAGCUCGUAGUUGGAUUUCUGGUCUGACGCACUUGGCCCGCCACCUUGCGGUGUGUGAGUGCCGGGUAGUGUCUACCAUCCUUCUAGAAAACAGUUCGCCCCUUCACUGGUGGGGAUCUGCUAUCUAGAUCUUUUACUUUGAAAAAAUUAGAGUGUUCAAAGCAGGCUUGCGCUAUGAAUACAUUAGCAUGGAAUAAUAAUUUAGGACCUUGGUUCUAUUUUGUUGGUUUCUAGGACUAAGGUAAUGAUUGAUAGGGAUAGUUGGGGGUGCUAGUAUUCAGUGGCCAGAGGUGAAAUUCUCAGAUUCACUGAAGACUAACUUAUGCGAAAGCAUUCACCAAGGAUGUCUUCUUUA
rnacentral:rRNA from 1 species